GUUAAGCAUCUGACUUCAGCUCAGGUCAUGAUCUCACGGUUUGUGAGUUAGAGCCCUACGUCGGGCACUCUUCUAACAGCUCGGAGCCUGGAGCCUGCUCCAGAUUCUGGGUCUCCUUCUCUCUCUGCCCCUCCCCUGCUCACACUCUGCCUCUCUCUCUCUC